rnacentral:rRNA from 1 species
UGGGGAAUAUUGCGCAAUGGGCGAAAGCCUGACGCAGCGACGCCGCGUGAGGGAUGAAGGUUUUCGGAUCGUAAACCUCUGUCAGAAGGGAAGAAACCGCACUGUGCUAAUCAGCAGUGCCUUGACGGUACCUUCAAAGGAAGCACCGGCUAACUCCGUGCCAGCAGCCGCGGUAAUACGGAGGGUGCAAGCGUUAAUCGGAAUUACUGGGCUUAAAGCGCACGUAGGCUGCUUUGUAAGUCAGGGGUGAAAUCCCACGGCUCAACCGUGGAACUGCCUUUGAUACUGCUUAGCUUGAAUCCGGGAGAGGGUGGCGGAAUUCCAGGUGUAGGAGUGAAAUCCGUAGAUAUCUGGAGGAACAUCAGUGGCGAAGGCGGCCACCUGGACCGGUAUUGACGCUGAGGUGCGAAAGCGUGGGGAGCAAACAGG